GGACACUUAACUCAGUUGGUAGAGUAUCUGGCUCUUAACCAGAAAGUCACAGGUUCGAAUCCUGUAGUGUCCA